GAUGAACGCUGGCGGCGUGCUUAACACAUGCAAGUCGAACGGAAAGGCCCAAGCUUGCUUGGGUGCUCGAGUGGCGAACGGGUGAGUAACACGUGGGUGAUCUGCCCUGCACUUUGGGAUAAGCCUGGGAAACUGGGUCUAAUACCGGAUAGGACCAUCGUUUAGUGUCGGUGGUGGAAAGUUUUUCGGUGUGGGAUGAGCUCGCGGCCUAUCAGCUUGUUGGUGGGGUAAUGGCCUACCAAGGCGUCGACGGGUAGCCGGCCUGAGAGGGUGUACGGCCACAUUGAGACUGAGAUACGGCCCAGACUCCUACGGGAGGCAGCAGUGGGGAAUAUUGCACAAUGGGCGCAAGCCUGAUGCAGCGACGCCGCGUGGGGGAUGACGGCCUUCGGGUUAGAAACUCCUUUCGCCAAGGACGAAGCGUUUUGUGACGGUACUUGGAGAAGAAGCACCGGCUAACUACGUG
rnacentral:rRNA from 1 species